rnacentral:snRNA from 1 species
GGUGGCUUGCUUGCUUAGU